rnacentral:other from 1 species
CGCUUACUGUGGUGUUCGCCAGGCUGACGCUAAAGUUUGCGGCGCCGAUGAACGUGCACGGGGAGGACAAUCUCGCCCUGUCAAAAUUCAAGCCCUCCCACUUCGAUGAGGGACGGGUUGGACAGGUCGGAAACCACCCACCUUGCUCAUACAGGGUGCACAAACUGUCCAGCGCAGCGGCACUGACGGUUCGCUG